rnacentral:rRNA from 1 species
GACGAACGCUGGCGGCGUGCUUAACACAUGCAAGUCGAGCGGUAAGGCCCUUUCGGGGGUACACGAGCGGCGAACGGGUGAGUAACACGUGGGUGACCUGCCCUCAGCUCUGGGAUAAGCCUGGGAAACCGGGUCUAAUACUGGAUAUGACUCCAUGACGCAUGUUGUGGGGUGGAAAGCCUUGUGCGGCUGAGGAUGGGCCCGCGGCCUAUCAGCUUGUUGGUGGGGUGANGGCCUACCAAGGCGACGACGGGUAGCCGGCCUGAGAGGGCGACCGGCCACACUGGGACUGAGACACGGCCCAGACUCCUACGGGAGGCAGCAGUGGGGAAUUUUGGACAAUGGGGGCAACCCUGAUCCAGCCAUGCCGCGUGAGUGAAGAAGGCCUUCGG